UACGGGGGGGGCAAGCGUUGUUCGGAAUUACUGGGCGUAAAGGGUUCGUAGGUGGCCAACUAAGUCAGACGUGAAAUCCCUCAGCUUAACUGGGGAACUGCGUCUGAGACUGGAUGGCUUGAGUGCAGGAGAGGAACGCGGAAUUCCAGGUGUAGCGGUGAAAUGCGUAGAUAUCUGGAGGAACACCGGUGGCGAAGGCGGCGUUCUGGACUGCUACUGACACUGAGGAACGAAAGCCAGGGGAGCAAAC
rnacentral:rRNA from 1 species